rnacentral:rRNA from 1 species
CACGUAGGGUGCAAGCGUUGUCCGGAAUUAUUGGGCGUAAAGAGCUCGUAGGCGGUUUGUCGCGUCUGCUGUGAAAACUCGGGGCUUAACUCCGGGCCUGCAGUGGGUACGGGCAGACUAGAGUGCGGUAGGGGGAGACUGGAAUUCCUGGUGUAGCGGUGAAAUGCGCAGAUAUCAGGAGGAACACCGGUGGCGAAGGCGGGUCUCUGGGCCUUACCUGACGCUGAGGAGCGAAAGCGUGGGGAGCGAACAGG